rnacentral:rRNA from 1 species
UACGGAGGGUGCAAGCGUUGUCCGGAUUUAUUGGGUUUAAAGGGUGCGUAGGCGGCCUAAUAAGUCAGUGGUGAAAGCCUCCAGCUUAACUGGAGAACUGCCAUUGAUACUGUUAGGCUUGAGUAUACUUGAGGUAGGCGGAAUUGACAGUGUAGCGGUGAAAUGCAUAGAUAUUGUCAAGAACACCGAUUGCGAAGGCAGCUUACUAAGUUAUAACUGACGCUGAGGCACGAAAGUGUGGGUAUCAAACAGG